UGGGGCCAUAAUCUAAUAGGAUUGGUGGCCUUAUAAGAAGAAAAAGAGAGGGAACUCUCUCUCUGUCUCUCUGCCUCUCCCUCCCUCCCUCCAUGUACACAGACUGAGGAGAGGCCAUGUGAGGACACAGUGAGACAGUGACCAUUUGCAAGACAGGAAGAGAGCUGUCACCAGAACCUGAACCCUGCAGGAACCUUGAUCUUGGACUUUCCAGCCUCCCGAACUAUGAGUUGGCCUAAAAGAAAGGACAGUCCAGUAGCAACAAGCACACCCAGUACGAAGAUCUUGGUUUGUAAUACCAUUCUCUGCUAAAAGGAGUCGGAUUCCUCGGAGAAAGGACUGAUCGUAGGACUGCAGCAAGAAAUACCCAAGAUGAGCCUGGAGCAUCUUGUGGUGCCAGGAAGUAAGGAAGUGCUCAAAGGUGUGGCUGCCUUUAAAGAAGUGGUAUGAACUCAAAGGCCUGUGAAAGUCUGGCAGGAAACCAACAAGUGAUACCGGUCAAGUUUGCUAGGGCCACUGUAACAAAAUACCACAGACUGAGUGGAUCAAACAGCAGACAUUUACUCCUCAC
rnacentral:lncRNA from 1 species